CAUCUCCAAGGCUUUCAGCUCAGUACAGACAAUCUCUGCAAGAACUCCUGAUGAGCCAAUGGAGAUAGCCUUCUUUAAAGGUCCCUUAUCCUCAAAAGAAUGGAUAAGAAGAAGACAACUUAAUCUCUGCAUGUACUGUGCUGCUUCUGGUCACUCGGUGAAAGAUUGUCCGAUUCUAAACAAAAAUAAAAAGGUGGGAACAGCAACAACUUCCUCUUGAGGCCUUCCUUGAUACAGGAGCGUCAGGAAAUUAUAUAGAUAAAGAUGUAAUCCUGUAUGAAUAAAAU